rnacentral:tRNA from 1 species
GCUUCGAUGGCGCAGUGGUAGCGCAGUGGUCUCAUAACAUUAUGAGGAGUCUGAUUUCGAGCACCUCAUAUGUCAAUAUGCCAUCCAAAGGUCGUGAGUUCGACCCUCACUCGGAGCA